CACGUAGGGUGCGAGCGUUGUCCGGAAUUAUUGGGCGUAAAGAGCUCGUAGGCGGUGUGUCGCGUCGGCCGUGAAAACCUGUGGCUUAACUAUGGGCUUGCGGUCGAUACGGGCAUCACUGGAGUUCGGCAGGGGAGACUGGAAUUCCUGGUGUAGCGGUGAAAUGCGCAGAUAUCAGGAGGAACACCGGUGGCGAAGGCGCUGCUCUGGGCCGGUACUGACGCUGAGGAGCGAAAGCGUGGGUAGCAAACAGG
rnacentral:rRNA from 1 species